rnacentral:lncRNA from 1 species
GAAAGAGAGAAAAAGAAAGCUCAGAUGCAAGUUUUCUUUUUUUUUUGCUCAUGAAAAGCAAAGCGUGGAAUACAACAAAUUAAAUAGCCACCCGGUGAGAAAAAAGGGAGUGGAGUGAAAAAUGGGCAGGGGGGGAUAAAACCCAGAUGAAAAAGGCAGGCUGGUGCUGGAGGAUGCCAGACAGGUCUGGGAAUAGAGGCAUAGCAUGGCGGUAAAAUAAUUGUACCCCUUCGGCUGAAGUCCAGCGCCGCUUUCUGCCUCGCUGCCCCAAGCCUGCCAUCCUCUGUUAGCUCCUGCAAUAUUUUAUCCGCCAGCUCCGGCUCUGUUUCACCAGCAAUGGAGAGGACUAGAUUAAUUAGGAGAGAUCUCUCUCCCACAGCCAGCCCGGCUCUGCAGGGGGAAGGCUGGGAACUAUUUAAAGGGAUGAAGAUGUACUGCAGCAGCUGCCAUCUCUCUGGCUGGUAAUGUGCUCGCUCACCUAGCUGAAAAUUCAUCUCCUUUUGCCCUCUGCCAGUAAUUCCCAGCAAAUAAAAGCUGGUGAGCCCCAGGUUGAGCUCUGAGGCCAGCUGGGCUGGGCUGGGGGUUUGGGGAGAGCAGGUGUAAGGAAGGAAAUGGGAGAGACAUGUGUUGGGAUGAAGAUUGGAACAACUGCAAAACGUUCAGAACCUGAGCAUUGCUCUCGUUUAUGACAGCACUGCCCAUCUUGGGAACGGGGCUGCAGGAGCCCCAAAAUCCCAGGUGCCCCCACAGCCAGGAUGGACCCAGCACCGCUCCCCCAUUUCCCAGCUCAUUAAGGCCCAGCCUUGCCUUCGAGUGACACAGCUCGCUAACUCCGUCUCCCUCCCUCUGCAAACAAACAUUGGAUUUAAACCUGCUCAGAAUUCAGCGCAGACGGAAAGCAGCGGCGGCAGCAGCAAGCAGCAAGCAGCGCAGCCGCUCGCCUAGCGCAGCUCCAAGAUGAACCAUCCUGCCUGCUGGAUCGUCUUCACGGCCACCACUGCCCUGCUCUUCAUCCCAGGAAACCCCUGCCUGCUUCUCAAACUGGCCAGCAGUGCCUGAGUAUCCCCAAGGGUGGGGAUAAAAGCUUGGAAAGACCACCAAAGACCAGGAGCUGCUGUCCUUGGGGUGCUGGCAGUGCACCCCCCCGAAUUGUGCUGCUUGGUGGAGAGCCUGGCAACUGAUGCCACAACCUUCCAGUCACCACAGAACGCUCCAUUUCCAGCCUCCCAGGCUGCACAUUGGAAUCAUCUCUUCAGCAGCCAGGAGGACUUUUUGGAGAGCUGUUAUCCUCCUGCUCCUGGUGCACUGGAUUUGAGCAGCUGAGAG